ACCUGGCUGGCUCAGUUGGUAGAGCAUGUGAUUCUUGAUCUUGGGGUCAUGAGUUUGAGCCUCAUGUGGGGUA
rnacentral:tRNA from 1 species